UCAGAUGGAUGGUUUGGUCGUGAAAAAUAUGGAAAGCUUCAUGGCCCCUGCGCAAGGAUGACACGCAAAAUCGUGAAGCGUUCCAUAUUUUU
rfam:Schistosoma mattheei strain Denwood, Zambia genome assembly, scaffold: SMTD_scaffold0009912